rnacentral:rRNA from 1 species
CAGCCGCCGCGGUAAUACGAAGGGUGCAAGCGUUACUCGGAAUUACUGGGCGUAAAGCGUGCGUAGGUGGUGGUUUAAGUCCGUUGUGAAAGCCCUGGGCUCAACCUGGGAAUUGCAGUGGAUACUGGAUCACUAGAGUGUGGUAGAGGAUAGUGGAAUUUCCGGUGUAGCAGUGAAAUGCGUAGAGAUCGGAAGGAACAUCUGUGGCGAAGGCGACUAUCUGGGCCAACACUGACACUGAGGCGCGAAAGCGUGGGGAGCAAACAGGAUUAGAUACCCCGGUAGUCCCUGUCUCUUAUAC